rnacentral:rRNA from 1 species
UACGUAGGAUGCGAGCGUUAUCCGGAUUUAUUGGGUUUAAAGGGUGCGUAGGCGGAUUUGUAAGUCAGCGGUAAAAGCCCGGGGCUCAACCCCGGCCCGCCGUUGAAACUGGCUGGCUUGAGUUGGGGAAAGGCAGGCGGAAUGCGCGGUGUAGCGGUGAAAUGCAUAGAUAUCGCGCAGAACCCCGAUUGCGAAGGCAGCAUACCGGCGGCGAUCUGACGCUGAGGCACGAAAGCGUGGGUAUCGAACAGG